CCCUUAGAUGUUCUGGGCUGCACGCGCGCUACAUUGUUGCUUCCAACGGGUUGUCGGUUUUGAGAAUUUAUCGUAAAUUCUAGAAACAAGCAGCGUAACUGGGAUAGACUAUUGUAAUUAUUACUCUUCAACGAGGAAUGCCUAGUAGGCGCAAGUCAUUACCUUGCGUCGAUUAAGUCCCUGCCCUUUGUACACACCGCCCGUCGCUCCUACCGAUUCGAGUGAUCCGGUGAACCUUUUGGACCGAGGCAGCUUGCUGUUUUGGAAAAUCAAGUAAACCACGUCACUUAGAGGAAGGAGAAGUCGUAACA
rnacentral:rRNA from 1 species